AGAGUUUGAUCCUGGCUCAGAUUGAACGCUGGCGGCAUGCCUUACACAUGCAAGUCGAACGGCAGCACGGGAGCUUGCUCCUGGUGGCGAGUGGCGAACGGGUGAGUAAUAUAUCGGAACGUACCCUAGAGUGGGGGAUAACGCAGCGAAAGUUGCGCUAAUACCGCAUACGAUCUACGGAUGAAAGUGGGGGAUCGCAAGACCUCAUGCUCAUGGAGCGGCCGAUAUCUGAUUAGCUAGUUGGUAGGGUAAAAGCCUACCAAGGCUUCGAUCAGUAGCUGGUCUGAGAGGACGACCAGCCACACUGGAACUGAGACACGGUCCAGACUCCUACGGGAGGCAGCAGUGGGGAAUUUUGGACAAUGGGCGCAAGCCUGAUCCAGCAAUGCCGCGUGAGUGAAGAAGGCCUUCGGGUUGUAAAGCUCUUUUGUCAGGGAAGAAACGGUGGACUCUAAUACAGAUCACUAAUGACGGUACCUGAAGAAUAAGCACCGGCUAACUACGUGCCAGCAGCCGCGGUAAUACGUAGGGUGCAAGCGUUAAUCGGAAUUACUGGGCGUAAAGCGUGCGCAGGCGGUUGUGCAAGACAGAUGUGAAAUCCCCGGGCUCAACCUGGGAAUUGCAUUUGUGACUGCACGGCUAGAGUGUGUCAGAGGGGGGUAGAAUUCCACGUGUAGCAGUGAAAUGCGUAGAGAUGUGGAGGAAUACCGAUGGCGAAGGCAGCCCCCUGGGAUAACACUGACGCUCAUGCACGAAAGCGUGGGGAGCAAACAGGAUUAGAUACCCUGGUAGUCCACGCCCUAAACGAUGUCUACUAGUUGUUGGGUCUUAAUUGACUUAGUAACGCAGCUAACGCGUGAAGUAGACCGCCUGGGGAGUACGGUCGCAAGAUUAAAACUCAAAGGAAUUGACGGGGACCCGCACAAGCGGUGGAUGAUGUGGAUUAAUUCGAUGCAACGCGAAAAACCUUACCUACCCUUGACAUGUACGGAAUCCCUGAGAGAUUAGGGAGUGCUCGAAAGAGAGCCGUAACACAGGUGCUGCAUGGCUGUCGUCAGCUCGUGUCGUGAGAUGUUGGGUUAAGUCCCGCAACGAGCGCAACCCUUGUCAUUAGUUGCUACGAAAGGGCACUUUAAUGAGGCUGCCGGUGACAAACCGGAGGAAGGUGGGGAUGACGUCAAGUCCUCAUGGCCCUUAUGGGUAGGGCUUCACACGUCAUACAAUGGUACAUACAGAGGGCCGCCAACCCGCGAGGGGGAGCUAGUCCCAGAAAGUGUAUCGUAGUCCGGAUUGUAGUCUGCAACUCGACUACAUGAAGUUGGAAUCGCUAGUAAUCGCGGAUCAGCAUGUCGCGGUGAAUACGUUCCCGGGUCUUGUACACACCGCCCGUCACACCAUGGGAGCGGGUUUCACCAGAAGUAGGUAGCCUAACCGUAAGGAGGGCGCUUACCACGGUGGGAUUCGUGACUGGGGUGAAGUCGUAACAAGGUA
rnacentral:rRNA from 1 species